AUUGAACGCUGGCGGCAUGCUUUACACAUGCAAGUCGAACGGUAACAGGCCGCAAGGUGCUGACGAGUGGCGAACGGGUGAGUAAUGCAUCGGAACGUGCCCAGUCGUGGGGGAUAACGCAGCGAAAGCUGCGCUAAUACCGCAUACGAUCUAUGGAUGAAAGCGGGGGACCGUAAGGCCUCGCGCGAUUGGAGCGGCCGAUGUCAGAUUAGGUAGUUGGUGGGGUAAAGGCUCACCAAGCCGACGAUCUGUAGCUGGUCUGAGAGGACGACCAGCCACACUGGGACUGAGACACGGCCCAGACUCCUACGGGAGGCAGCAGUGGGGAAUUUUGGACAAUGGGGGCAACCCUGAUCCAGCAAUGCCGCGUGCAGGAAGAAGGCCUUCGGGUUGUAAACUGCUUUUGUACGGAACGAAACGGCUCUGGUUAAUACCUGGGGCUAAUGACGGUACCGUAAGAAUAAGCACCGGCUAACUACGUGCCAGCCGCCGCCGUAACAC
rnacentral:rRNA from 1 species